rnacentral:rRNA from 1 species
UACGGAGGGUGCAAGCGUUGCUCGGAAUUAUUGGGCGUAAAGGGCAGGUAGGUGGUCUCAUUUGUCUGGGGUGAAAUCCUUGAGCUUAACUCAAGAACUGCCCUAGAAACGGUGAGACUGGAGUGCUGGAGAGGGUCGUGGAAUUCCCGGUGUAGCGGUGAAAUGCGUAGAGAUCGGGAGGAACACCAGAGGCGAAGGCGGCGACCUGGACAGUGACUGACACUCAACUGCGAAAGCGUGGGGAGCAAACAGG